CCGCCUGGGGAGUACGGUCGCAAGAUUAAAACUCAAAUGAAUUGACGGGGGCCCGCACAAGCGGUGGAGCAUGUGGUUUAAUUCGAUGCAACGCGAAGAACCUUACCUACUCUUGACAUCCAGAGAAGCCAGCGGAGACGCAGGUGUGCCUUCGGGAACUCUGAGACAGGUGCUGCAUGGCUGUCGUCAGCUCGUGUUGUGAAAUGUUGGGUUAAGUCCCGCAACGAGCGCAACCCUUAUCCUUGUUUGCCAGCGAGUAAUGUCGGGAACUCCAGGGAGACUGCCGGUGAUAAACCGGAGGAAGGUGGGGACGACGUCAAGUCAUCAUGGCCCUUACGAGUAGGGCUACACACGUGCUACAAUGGCGCAUACAGAGGGCGGCCAACUUGCGAAAGUGAGCGAAUCCCAAAAAGUGCGUCGUAGUCCGGAUUGGAGUCUGCAACUCGACUCCAUGAAGUCGGAAUCGCUAGUAAUCGUGGAUCAGAAUGCCACGGUGAAUACGUUCCCGGGCCUUGUACACACCGCCCGUCACACCAUGGGAGUGGGCUGCAAAAGAAGUGGGUAGUUUAACCUUCGGGAGGACGCUCACCACUUUGUGGUUCAUGACUGGGGUGAAGUCGUAACAAGGUAGCGCUAGGGGAACCUGGCGCUGGAUCACCUCCUUA
rnacentral:rRNA from 13 species